UUGGAUGAUUUCUAUAUUAUCAUUCUCCACAAUAACAUAAAAAAAGUAACAUUGUUGGGCUUUUUCUAAACCCAUUAAACAAGCCAAUGCCUCAACUUCUUGGAAAUUAAAGGAUAAGUCCCCUUUCCACGUGCUAGCCAUUAAGAUGGCACCAAAAUCAUCUCUUGCCACUACUCCUAUGCCAACUAAUCCAUUAUCUAAAGUAGAUGCAUCCACAUUUAUUUUGAUAGAAUUGGUAGGUGGACAAACCCAUCUUUCAGAGCUGUUGGAGCCAGGAGGUGGAGAUUGGAGCUCGGAGCUUGGCAUCGGUGAUUCUCAAAGCAAAAAGGAACUCCUCAUGCUUUUUUCUUGCUCGGUCAACUGCUUCCAAAAAAAAUUCUUCUUUAUUCUUGAAAACGAGAUGGUUAUGACUUGUCCAAAGAUAUAGAAGACAGUUGCACAGCAAACCUUGAUCUUAGGGAUUAAGAGAUUUUAGCAAAAAUUCAAUCUACUCUGGUGCUUUCAUAGAUGAAUUUGCAGUAAUUCGAAUUGCCAAAGAGGAGUGAAACAAAAAUCUUCGAGCAAAUUCGCAAUUCUUGAAGAUGUUCAAUUUUGUUGGCAGCGAUUUAUUAAGGAUUUUCCAAGCACAGUGAAUUGCGCGGGGGUGGGCUUUUGCUUUCCAAAGUUGUUUCCACCGAGGCUCUUCUGGGUUUGGUGAUAGCCCACUUUUGUUCCGGAGUUGUUUUUGUUUUAUGAUCUUGUGAAUCUCACCAAUUUUUGCUGCACAGUAACAGAAAAGCACGAUGUGUACGGAAGUUUUGUGCUACACUCCUUCAAACCCUAGGAAAAGAGGAGAGAGAAUAUCGUUAUUUGCAUGUUAUUUUUUCCUUCAAAUUUGAGUUGGUAGAAUUGGUAGUUAGAAAGAGGUCAAUAGCGUUGCUGACCGCUUAGCAAAAGUGAUUGUCUGUGAUGUUACUAAAUUCAUCUAGCAUGUAUCUUUGCCUAAAGUAGUAUUAGAAACUUAGAAUUGCUACAUUGUGACUUAGCUUAGUGUGUUGUUUCUUUU